UCAUAGUUUGAACUAAAACAGAUCGAAACUUUACAAACAUGUGGAGGAGCCAUUGUACAGAUGACUCAAUAGGCCAGCACGAUGCUCAACUUAGUUUCCUUGCUGCCGUUGAAUCCGCCGUUUUGAGUUAUUUCGUCGUUAAUUACAGAAUGAACGAAGUACGACGUUCGGAAUUUUCGUCAUCAGUUUUGUCUAUAACAAGAAAUGGUAUUCGACACCCGACGACGACUGGAUGUGUGCAUCGUGAUUCCGUUCAUUAUCAUUAACAGUACAGUAUGGCGUAUGUACUUGAAAAUAUGCAAGAUGAAUUUGAUUACAGUUAAACAGAAUUGUCUUCUCUUUAAGUUUGUACAUUCAUUCUUCAAUUAAGUAAUAUUCUUUUAUCGAAACUUUCUUUCGUACUUUUCUUUCUGUUAUGCAUUUUUUAUUGAAUAUGUUGUACAUAUAUCGAAUAGCUGAGGAUUCUGAAUUCAUUCUAUUCUCGCAGCAUUUUUGUAACUUUAUUUCUUUAAUUUUGCAUUAAUGAAUUUAAUAUGGAUUCUUUCAAUAUUUAUUAUUGACAUGUGAUUAGUAAUCGACAUCAUCGGAAUAAGGAAUAUUGAGGCAUAAGACUUUUAUAUCAUUCAAUGAUAAAUAUUUACUGAAAAUCGAAGAUGUUAAGUUUUAUAUAAUCGUAUAAAUUGCAUCCUAGAACUACGAAUUCUUCUAUUGUCAACUGGACAUAGUUGGAAAUUUAAGUGCAUGAUAAACGAUCACGAAUAUCAUUCAUAAACUAAAUAUAUUUUAUUCUUUACUUUUUAUCGAAUACACAAUUACAAUUAAGCGGAUAAAAUAUUCAUUUUUUUAUGAAAUUUAAAUAUAUUACACAGAGCACAUUUAGUAUUUUUUAAAUUAAUCCUCAUUAUAAAAGCUUUUUCAUUUUUAUAUAUAACCUAUACAUUAAAAAUCGAUAAUAAAUUUAACAAUUACAAUAUCGUGUUUCCAUCUCUCUCUUUGAAUUGCUUGAGAUGAUGUACGCGCGUAUGCGACAGUCCAAGUUACGAAUGUCUUGCAACUUGAAUUUCAUUACUAGCAUAAUCUUUAUCAUUCCGAGUGAAGCUAUAUCCAGUGCCAACUGGAUUAUCAAUGUAAAUUAAGUUACGAGAAAUAGUUAAGAAAUAUGAUACUUACACGAUGCAAGCGUUGUUAGACUCGUUCGUCGUCCAGAUAAAACACGUCCAGAGAGAUGCUUAGAGGAACGAAUACUGCGUACUAGCAACGCCUUAGUAAGGACGACGAAUGUGGGAAAAUCGUGCCACGGUUGAUCUCUCCGAUCGUCCCUUGUUUAUUUACAAAUACUUUUCACUACAAGACUUCCCCAAUUCUCCGAAUUGUAUACACGUACGACGUAUAUAUACACACGUAGUAACGACGAUUUAUCACGCUCGACCGGUUUUUCUUUCGUUGUUUGCCGGAAACAAUAGGUAAGGGAAUCUACAUAAAGAGCCUCUUGUAUGUAUUCAAAAACAGCCAACGAGACUUUGCUAUAACGACGAUUUAAACUAUCUAAUUUUAAAAUUAACCUUAUCCUUUACUUUUAUGCCUGAAUUAUCGUCGAGGAAACAUCAUUUUUUGACACGAUUUUUUCAAACAAAACGAAGCGCGUAUUCGAAAGUUCGGAAGAAUCGUAUUCUCACUCGAAUAUUCAUCUUUGAAGCGAUCUCGUUCGUCAAAAUCGUUAAAAAAUUAUAUCUGUAUUUAUCGUUGGCGUAAACCAACAUAAAACAACGAGCGAUGGACUGUCAACAAAAACGGACCUUUCAACGAAUCGGAUGGUUACUCUCUCUCUUUCUAAAAGCAGAAACUUCAAAAUCAAUACUUUCCUCGUACUAACAUCGAAAAUAAUACACAUUUAUAUGAAAAAUAAUCGUACGCGGGCGCACGAACAUUUUCCUUACAAAUAUAUUUUCACGUUUACGAGCUUUAUUUCUACAGAUAUCAAAUCGAAAUGAUUAAUUUUCACAGUUUGAUGCAGCAAGAUAUUCGUUUAGAUAGUUUUUAAUUUCGUAUAUCAUAUUUUUAACGUUUCCAUAUUAUUAUACAAACAGAUCGAAACAACAAACACGUGGGGAAGCCAUUGUAAAGAUGACGUAACGCGUACGCGGGACGGUCCAUAGCUUCCUUCCUGCCGCUUAAUCCGCCAUUCCGAAUUAGUUCGUGGCACGCGUCGCAACCGAGCUUCGUCCUCUCGUUAAUUGCAGUUAAUUAGAAUAUUUUAUCCAACGUACGCUCUAAUUUUGUAUAUCGAUCGAACGUCGAAAACGCUAUUUCCACGGGUGAAUUUAUUAACAUCGAUCACGCUCAACUACGAAAUAUAUUCUGCUGCGUUCCUUAACCUAACAACCAUACAAGCCAUCGUUAUUUUCGAUUAUACAAUGGAAGAACUACGACGUUCGCAUUUUCGUCAUCAAUUUUACUUAUUUACAAUGAGAAAUGAUGUUGGACACACGACAACGACGACUGAUCGAAACUUUACAAGCACGUGGGGAAGCCAUUGGAAAGAUGACGUAAUAUGUACGUACGACGGUCCACAUCUUUCUUGCUGCCGCUUACUCCGCCAUUCUGAAUUAUUUCGUGGCGUUUGUCGCAAGCCAGCUUCGUCCUCUCGUUGACUGCAGAAUGGAAGAGGUACGACGUCUGGAUUUUCGUCUUCAAUUUUACUUAUUUACAAUGAGAAAUGGUGUUGGACACACGACGACGAGUGAUCGAAACAACAAGCACGUGGGGAAGCCAUUGCAAAGCUGACGUAACGCGCAUGCUCGACGAUACAGCUUCCUUGUUGCCGCUUAAUCCGCCAUUCUGAAUCAGUUCGUGGCACGUGUCCCAACCAAGCUUCGUCCUCUCGUUAAUUGCAGGAUGGAAGAGGUACGAUGUUCGGAUUAUCAAUUUUACUUACGUACGAUAAGAAGUGAUAUUCGAUACAGGACGACGAGUGGGCGUAGAUUCUGUAAAUUUGUUCGUCAGCGUUAACAACACAGUGUGGCCCAUGUUCCUAGAAAGAAGCAAGAUUGAUUUGGCUAGAGUUAGGUUAGCAACAGAGUAGACGUCUUCCGUUUAAGUUUAUACAUUCAUUCUUCGAUUAAGCAGUGUUCUUUCAGCGAAACUUCUUUUAGUAAUUUGCCGUCAGAGUAUAUUUUUUGUUCGAUUGUACAUUUUUUGGGAAGUGCGUUUUAUAUACGUGGAAUAGUUGAUAAUUCGGAAUUCAUUCAAAUUGAUUAACGUUGAUGUAACAUUAUUUCUUUAAUUUUACAUUAGUGGAUUCUACAUGGAUUCUUUCAACCUUCAUCGUCGUCAUGUGAUUAAUAAUCGACAUCAUCAGGAUAGGGAGGAGUUGUGCACGGUCGUCACCGCGCAGUUGAAUCUUUCUAGACGCAACCCACUUUUUAUCGAGCACUUGUUUAUGGUCGAGAUUUGUCUCGUACCAUUUUCUGUGCAUUUACGCUGGUUGCUCUGCCUUCGUCCAGCAUUAUAAAAUAACCGAGGACAUUCUACUCUCCUCCUUAUUUUUUAGACCUGCUUCAGAUGUCGUUAAUUGAUCUCACGUCGAGGACGAUCGAUGGGAAAAUCUAUGUACGCGAACGCGCUUAAUCUACAUUAUUUUAACGAGCCGUCGUCCGUCUUGGAAUAUCACUGCGAAAUAAAAAUUGUAGACUUUUCGUUGAUAGUACAUGAUAGAACGAAUACUGCUUAAAUCACGGAGUGGAUGUAUCAUUCGACGGGUCGUUUCCUGAUUGCUGUAAUGCGGUUGACAGUUCUUUAGCCAUCGAAAUGUUACAAGCACGUGGGGAAGCCAUUGCAAAGGUGACGUAAUGCGCAAGCGCAGCGGUCCACAGCCUCCUUGCUGCCUCAGAAUCCACCAUUUUGAAUAAUGAUUGGCACGUGUUAUGACCAAGCUUUUUUCUUGCAGGAUGGAAGAGGUACGAUGUUCGGAUUAUCAAUUUUACUUACGUACGAUAAGAAGUGAUAUUCGAUACAGGACGACGAGUGGGCGUAGAUUCUGUAAAUUUGUUCGUCAGCGUUAACAACACAGUGUGGCCCAUGUUCCUAGAAAGAAGCAAGAUUGAUUUGGCUAGAGUUCAACAAAG